ACGGGUGAGUAACACGUGGGUAACCCCUCCUUAAGUGGGGGAUAACAUUUGGAAACAGAUGCUAAUACCGCAUAGAUCCAAGAACCGCAUGGUUCUUGGCUGAAAGACGGCGUAAGCUAUCGCUUUUGGAUGGACCCGCGGCGUAUUAGCUAGUUGGUGAGGUAAUGGCUCACCAAGGCGAUGAUACGUAGCCGAACUGAGAGGUUGAUCGGCCACAUUGGGACUGAGACACGGCCCAAACUCCUACGGGAGGCAGCAGUAGGGAAUCUUCCACAAUGGACGCAAGUCUGAUGGAGCAACGCCGCGUGAGUGAAGAAGGCUUUCGGGUCGUAAAACUCUGUUGUUGGAGAAGAAUGGUCGGCAGAGUAACUGUUGUCGGCGUGACGGUAUCCAACCAGAAAGCCACGGCUAACUACGUGCCAGCAGCCGCGGUAAUACGUAGGUGGCAAGCGUUAUCCGGAUUUAUUGGGCGUAAAGCGAGCGCAGGCGGUUUUUUAAGUCUGAUGUGAAAGCCCUCGGCUUAACCGAGGAAGCGCAUAGGAAACUGGGAAACUUGAGUGCAGAAGAGGACAGUGGAACUCCAUGUGUAGCGGUGAAAUGCGUAGAUAUAUGGAAGAACACCAGUGGCGAAGGCGGCUGUCUGGUCUGUAACUGACGCUGAGGCUCGAAAGCAUGGGUAGCGAACAGGAUUAGAUACCCUGGUAGUCCAUGCCGUAAACGAUGAAUGCUAGGUGUU
rnacentral:rRNA from 1 species